rnacentral:rRNA from 1 species
UCGGGAAUCUUCCGCAAUGGACGCACGUCUGACGGAGCAACCCCGCGUGAGUGAAGAAGGAUUUCGGUUCGUAAAACUCUGUUGUUAGAGAAGAACAGCGCAUAGAGUAACUGUUAUGCGUGUGACGGUAUCUAACCAGAAAGCCACGGCUAACUACGUGCCAGCAGCCGCGGUAAUACGUAGGUGGCAAGCGUUGUCCGGAUUUAUUGGACGUAAAGCGAGCGCAGGCGGUCAAUUAAGUCUGAUGUGAAAGCCCCCGGCUCAACCGGGGAGGGUCAAUGGAAACUGGUUGACUUGAGUGCAGAAGAGGAGGGUGGAAUUCCAUGUGUAGCGGUGAAGUGCGUAGAUAUAUGGAGGAACACCAGUGGCGAGGGCGACUCUCUGGUCUGUAACUGACGCUGAGGCUCGAAAGCGUGGGUAGCAAACAGG